AUUGAACGCUGGCGGCAGGCCUAACACAUGCAAGUCGAACGAGUGGCGGACGGGUGAGUAGUGUCUGGGAAACUGCCUGCUGGAGGGGGAUAACUAGUGGAAACGGUAGCUAAUACCGCAUACCAUCGGAUGUGCCCAGAUGGGAUUAGCUAGUAGGUGGGGUAAAGGCUCACCUAGGCGAAGAUCCCUAGCUGGUCUGAGAGGAUGACCGGCCACACGGGAACGGAGACACGGUCCAGAGGCCUACGGGAGGGAGCAGUGGGGAAUAUGGGACAAUGGGCGCAAGCCUGAUGCAGCCAUGCCGCGUGUAUGAAGAAGGCCCUCGGGUUGUAAAGUACUUUCAGCGGGGAGGCGUUACCCGCAGAAGAAGCACCGGCUAACUCCGUGCCAGCAGCCGCGGUAAUAC
rnacentral:rRNA from 1 species